rnacentral:rRNA from 1 species
AUUGAACGCUGGCGGCAUGCUUUACACAUGCAAGUCGGACGAGUGGCGAACGGGUGAGUAACGCAUCGGAACGUACCGAGUAAUGGGGGAUAACUGUCCGACAGGACAGCUAAUACCGCAUAUUAGUCGAGCGGCCGAUGUCUGAUUAGCUGGUUGGCGGGGUAAAGGCCCACCAAGGCGACGAUCAGUAGCGGGUCUGCGAGGAUGAUCCGCCACACUGGGACGGAGACACGGCCCAGACUCCUACGCGCGACAGCAGUGGGGAAUUUUGGGCAAUGGGCGCAAUCCUGACCCAGCCAUGCCGCGUGUCUGAAGAAGGCCUUCGGGUAGUAAAGGACUUUUGUCAGGGAAGCGGUACCUGAAGAAUAAGCACCGGCUAACUACGUGCCAGCAGCCGCGGUAAUUC